GCCGAGCUGGAGCUGGAGUUAUCGGAGGAGGGUGGUGGGCUCUGGGAAAUGGUGAUUAUGUUAAAACGUGUUCAGGCAGAUCUCGAAACAGGAGUAGUCAGAUGAUCAGGAGACCAUCCGCCGGUGGACUCCAAUCAAGGUGUAAAAGCAUCUCAGAGGUGAUCGAGAGAAAUGGGAGACACCC